rnacentral:rRNA from 1 species
UAAACAACCUGCCUUCAGGAUGGGGACAACAGACGGAGACGACUGCUAAUACCGAAUAAGUUCCAAGAGCCGCAUGGCCCAUGGAAGAAAAGGUGGCCUCUACCUGUAAGCUAUCGCCUGAAGAGGGGUUUGCGUCUGAUUAGCUGGUCGGAGGGGUAACGGCCCACCAAGGCGACGAUCAGUAGCCGGUCUGAGAGGAUGAACGGCCACACUGGAACUGAGACACGGUCCAGACUCCUACGGGAGGCAGCAUG